rnacentral:rRNA from 1 species
UACAGAGGUCUCAAGCGUUGUUCGGAUUCAUUGGGCGUAAAGGGUGCGUAGGCGGCGCGGUAAGUCGGGUGUGAAAUCUUGGAGCUUAACUCCGAAACUGCAUUCGAUACUGCCGUGCUUGAGGACUGGAGAGGAGACUGGAAUUUACGGUGUAGCGGUGGAAUGCGUAGAUAUCGUAAGGAAGACCAGUGGCGAAGGCGGGUCUCUGGACGAGUUC